rnacentral:rRNA from 1 species
UACGUAGGGCGCAAGCGUUGUCCGGAAUUAUUGGGCGUAAAGAGCUCGUAGGCGGCCUGUUGCGUCCGCUGUGAAAUCCCGGGGCUCAACCCCGGGCCUGCAGUGGAUACGGGCUGGCUGGAGGCAGGCAGGGGAGAACGGAAUUCCUGGUGUAGCGGUGAAAUGCGCAGAUAUCAGGAGGAACACCAAUGGCGAAGGCAGAUCUCUGGGCCGUAACUGACGCUGAGGAGCGAAAGCAUGGGGAGCGAACAGG